rnacentral:rRNA from 1 species
CCGAGUAACCAUAAUAAUUAAAACUUUCAACAACGGAUCUCUUGGUUCCAGCAUCGAUGAAGAACGCAGCGAAAUGCGAAAAGUAAUGUGAAUUGCAGAAUUCCGUGAAUCAUCGAAUCUUUGAACGCACAUUGCGCCCCUUGGUAUUCCGGGGGGCAUGCCUGUUCGAGCGUCAUUGCACCACUCAAGCCUUGCUUGGUAUUGGGCGUCGCCUCCCGGGGCGAGCCCGGAAUUUAGCGGCGGUCCAGCGAGACUUCAAGCGUAGCAAGAUAUUCUUAUCCCGCUUAGGAAGCUUCCCGCUGCGGUCGGCCAGAUAACCCCGAUUUUUUCAAUGGUUGACCUCGGAUCAGGUAGGGAUACCCGCUGAACUUAAGCAUAUCAAUAAGCGGAGGAAAAGAAACCAACAGGGAUUGCC